GACGAACGCUGGCGGCGUGCUUAACACAUGCAAGUCGAACGAAGUGGCGAACGGGUGAGUAAUACGUGGGUAACCUUCCCUCCUUUUUGGGAUAAGCCUUGGAAACGGGGUCUAAUACCGAAUAAAGGGGGAUGGGCUCGCGGCCUAUCAGCUGGGUGGUGGGGUGAUGGGCUACCAAGGAGGUGACGGGUAGCCGGCCUGAGAGGGUGCCCGGCCACAUAGGGACUGAGAUACGGCCCAGAGUAGGAAGGGGGGCAGAAGUGGGGGAUAUGGCAGAAUGGGCGAAAGCGUGAUGCAGCGACGACGAGGGGGGGAUGAAGGCUUUCGGGUUGUAAACCUCUUUAGCUAUCGAACGGGUAGGUAGAGAAGAAGCGCCGGCUAACUACGUGCCAGCAGCCGCGGUAAUUC
rnacentral:rRNA from 1 species